AUCUAACUUGGAAGGAUCACUUUAGAGAUCAAGAAGGGAGUUUGUUCUCUUUACUGCUAUUAUUCUGUCUGGGCUUUCUUGUCUAAAGCUGCCAUUGAAGAUAGUAAUUUUUGUGAAAGGUCAAGGAUAAAUGUGGUGAAUAGCUGCUAUGCAAGGGUGAAGAAAGUGAAGAAGACUUCUGGAGUAAGAAGAAAUGCAAGCAGAGAUGUGAUCUUCAGACAUAUGUGGUAGGCCCGAUC